rnacentral:rRNA from 1 species
GUCCUAGCCGUAAACGAUGGACACUAGGUGUUGGCCUCGUUAAGGGGUCAGUGCCGCAGGUAACCCGCUAAGUGUCCCACCUGAGGAGUACGGCCGCAAGGUUGAAACUCAAAGGAAUUGACGGGGCCAGCACAAGCGGUGGAACAUGUGGUUCAAUUCGAUGCUACGCGAAGAACCUUACCCAGGCUUGACAUGCUUGAAGUAGGAACCUGAAAGGGUGACGACUCGUAACCAGUCGAGAACUUGCACAGGUGCUGCAUGGCUGUCGU